ensembl:snoRNA
GGUGCAGGUGAUGAUUUUAAAGCGACCAAAGCCUGAGAGUUUGUGAUUAUGACCUUAGGUGACUGAUGCACC